rnacentral:rRNA from 1 species
UACGGGGGGUGCGAGCGUUGUCCGGAAUCACUGGGCGUAAAGGGCGCGUAGGCGGCUUGGCAAGUGGAAGGUGAAAUCCCUCGGCUCAACUGAGGAACUGCCUUCCAGACUGCUUUGCUUGAGUCCGGGAGAGGUGAGUGGAAUUCCAGGUGUAGCGGUGAAAUGCGUAGAUAUCUGGAGGAACACCGGUGGCGAAGGCGGCAUCCUGGACCAACACUGACGCUGAGGAGCGAAAGCCAGGGGAGCAAACGGG